GGCAACUGUGGAGAAAGGGCAGGCAUGCCUUGGAAAGAGGAAGGCGUAUUUGGGGGCUUCUGGGAACCACCAUAGGAAGGUUCUGCUUUGGAGAGCAAUUUAUUCCCAGGAUUUCUGUGAGGCUUGAGGCAGUGGUGAGCUUCAGAGAGCUGCAGAGGUUUCGCCGUUGUUCCUCAAUAAGGUGUCCCCUCAAUAAUCUCUUUGGGGAACAUGGACCCUCUGAGUCUGGUCAUGAUACUGAGAGAAGAGAGAGCUGAGUUCAAGGCCCUGUUUCAGAGUGUGGAUUCAAAGUUGGGUUUCCCAGAUCUGAGGUCCAUCUUGCUGUUUCAUGAGCUGGCACUGAGAGGGGACCUGAAGCCCUGCUCCACUAUCAACCAGGAGAGACCUAAUCACUUAACACCCUUCACUAGAUCGACUCUCCCUUUUCCCUUACCACCACAGGGGCUAAGGUAGACUGACAACCAUCAUGGAAGACCUCAUCCAUCUCAAAGUCAAAAGGGACCCAUUCUAGACCCAACCUGCCCAUUUCCUACUCAGAGGCCUGAAGACAACUCAUCUGCUGCCAACUGAAGCUUCAGGAAAGCAUGCUAUCAUCACUCUUGCUGAGAGGAACAGUUGCCAGAUAGAGGAGCCUCCAGGGGUGCUGGGCAUGGAGAACCAUAGUGGGUCAAAAAGGACAAGGCACAGAAAGAUUGGUGAAUUUUUGUGGGGGAACAAUAUGGCGUGCAUUGAUGUUUCAGAGACCUCUAUAAUGGAGGUGAGGGGGGAAAAUACCAUAUGCCCAUUUCCCCCCACUCUUGAUACAAUGUAGCACAACUCACUUGUGCAAUGUUGUUGUCAUUUUGGUCACCUGUUCCCAGCUCUCCUGGAAGGUUGCUCCCCUGCAGUAGCCUGUUCUGAAACCCUGCAGACCUCAGUUCUCCGGUGUGCUGUGGGUACGGAGUCCAACCCGUGCAGCCGCUCUUGCUGUGGGUUCUGUGGUACAGAACGCCUUGUGCAGCCCUCUAUCAACAAAUGAAUUUUGCCUUCCCACGCUAGGAUCAGAGGCGAACAUUUCAUUGAUAUUGUAAAUGAGAUGGAAAAAAAUGCAAAGGCUCCUAAGAUUUUCAUUUCCAUAAACCUUGCCUAAGGCUCCAGCUGGAAAUACCCAGGAGGGUCAUGUACAGUACAGUAUAUUCCCCGACUACUACUUUGGCCAAAUACAUUUUGUUCUUGAGUCAUGUGUGCACUGCAGAGCAUUUCAAAGACCCAUCUGACAGAAUAUAGUCACUCACCUUCAAAGUACAGUGCAAUCUCAAGAGGUUCAGAGUUAGGGUUUGGUUUGAAUUCUUGGAUCCUUAUCUGAAUUCCCUGACACUGUAUAAGAGGCAUCCUUGCAAGAUUCCCAACAUUUCUGCUUCUAGUCCAAGCCACAUAAUAACCCAAUAACAGCCUUUCUCUUUGUAUUUCCACUAGAACCAGAAGUGUAUGUCUAUUGGGGUGGGCGGGGAGAGGGAGGGAGGGAGUAGGAUCUAUCAGAACAUUUCAGAAUUUUGAAGGAGGUUUGGUUCAAGUUUCAUUCUAGGAAUGAGUGAAGGUUUCAAACACUCUUCUUAACAGUGCUAUGAUUAUUGUUUUUCUGUAUUUACAUGACUAUUAGGUGUUAAUUUUCAGGGCUUCAUUGUUAUGCAUAUAACACCAAAAUCUGCCUCAUGUUGCCAUCAAAUUAUCAAGCUAAGAUUUCUGCUCUGACUGUUCAUGUUAUAUUCUGUUAUGAAUGUCUAAUAAUUUUAUUAACUUAAAGCCAAAUAAAACCAAGUGCAUGCAG